rnacentral:lncRNA from 1 species
CCCCUAGAUUUUUUUAAUGCAACUUGAGCAUGAAAUAGAGACUCAGCAACUUCAUUGUCAUCUGGAAGCACCGUCCUCAAAACUUCAUAAUCUCUUACAGCCUCCUCCCACUUUUCAAGCUGCAGGCAAUCCAAAAUGGAGUUAGAAACAAAACCCAACUAUCAUGAAUAAGCCAAGCCCAGCAGCAUUCUAAGUAAAGGCAAUUUACCUUACUAUUUGAGGCAGCCCUUCGAAGGAGGGCUUUCGUGUAAGUUGGUUGGAUAAGUAAUGCUUGAUUGCAAUCUUCGAUGGACC